CUUGACGCCUUUUAUGCUUUGCCGGCAAGUUUUUUUUAUAGCUAGCAACGGAAUCAGUUUCAUUAGCAGUUGACAGAAUACAAGCAGUUUUCAACAAUUAGUUAAUUUGCUUACCAUUGUAAGAAAUGCCUCCAGUCCGAGUGAUAAGGGGACCAUUUAAAAAAUGGAUGCAUGAUGAAAACUUCCUCUUUUCCUUGACAGACCAGGUCAAGCAGGAAUAUUAAGGACCCUCUAACACACCCCAAUCAACCUGGCUCUGAUGAUUUAGACCGUGAUGAUGCCCCUGAGAUGAACAAAUAAAUUAUUUACCCUGGGGCAUCAGUAACAAAAGGGCAAUGCCUUAUGGCAAUAAUGCUCUUUGUUCUGCAUCAUCACCUGACUGGAACUGCCCUGAUAGACCUACUUGCCUUGCUGAAUUUCCUUGUCCCCAACUUGGUUCCAACAUCUAAAUAUCUCUUCAAAAAGCUUUUGGGUAAUCCAGCCCUGACAGCUGUCUCGUUUAUUUUGUGACGAAUGCCAAAACUACUUAGAAAAGCAACCCGAAGACACAAAUUGCUCACACUGUGGAACGCCCUUUAUCAGAGAAACAAAACUUUUCUUUUUGUCAAUACCUUUGAGGGACCUUCUGCGAGAUACACUGGAGAACAGAAUAGAUGUAAUAGAUAUUUUGAGGAAAACAGUGAAGGAAGAAGAAUAUGAAAUCGAGGAUGUCAUAGAUGGAAAGAUGUACCAGACAUUACUGAAAGAGAUGAGACUAUCUGCUGAUGAUUUAACAUUAACCUGGAACUGUGAUGGAGUACCCAUUUUUAACUCCUCAAAUUACUCAGUUUGGCCCCUUCAAUUUACCAUAAAUGAACUGCCUUACAUACAUCGGAAAGAAAAUGUGAUGGUUGCAGGACUUUGGUUUGGCCCAGAAAAACCCAGAAUGGAUACCUUUUUAAAACCUUUUAUUGAUGAAUGUUGAGAUUUAGCCCAAAACCCAUUACUUUGGAGAGAUAACAGUGGGAUUCUGAAGAGGACAAAUGUCUUCUCCUUGAUUUGUUCCUCAGAUGCAAUAGCCAGGCCAAUCCUUCGUUACUGUAAACAAUUCAAUGGGGAAUAUGGUUGUGAUUGGUGCUUGCACCCUGGUAAAGUUGUCCCCAAAGGCAGAGGAUAUGUAAGAUCCUUACUCUCAACAACUGCAAAUUGAAAGAUCAAACAAUCAAUUUAAGGAUAAUGCAUUUCACGCUGCUCACACUGACAUUCCGCAAAAUGGUGUAAAGGGGUUGUCAACACUGUUUUUGCUUCCAUUGUUCAACAUUUUGUUUGGUUUUCUGCCUGACUACAUGCAUCCUGUUCUCCUCAGCAUAACUCGACAACUUCUGUCUCUUUGAUUGGACAUGUGCAACUGUUUGAAUCCAUGGCACAUAGGUUGACAAAUUACAGAAUUAGACUCUUGACUCCUAAAUCUCAAGCCGCCAAAGGAAAUUACAAGAAUACCGCGAUCACUGCAUAUAAGUGAUCAGCUUCUGUAAAACUUGCUGUAGAAGAACUAAUUACCGGAUCUGUCCCGUCCCAACCUUUGGAGUCAUACGGUCGAUUCAUUUAUGAACAGAUUGUAUAUCACACAACUAACUACAUAAUCUCAGAAAAAAGGGAUAAUACCUCAGUCGUGUUAAAAAUGGAUGUUGUGCACAACUGCUGUUCUUUUUCUUUGUUAGACUGAAUUGCGUUUGUCAAACUGUUAGGAGAAUUAUGUUCUCAAUGUUAACUUCAAUUAAAAUACUCAGUCUGCAACCCGGAAUUGGUAAGAUUCUGGUUGAAUGAAACAGACAGAGUUCCAGCUUACAAGAGGCAGAAUGUUUAUUUACAAGAACGUUCUGAAGUCCAUUGUACAGAGGCAUCAUUUUUAUAGUUCACUCCUCACUUACUUACGCACACACAUACACACAAACAUUAAGGCACCAGAUCUCUUAACACUGUAGAUCAUUAC